GUACUGUUUAAGACGAAUAUUAGUAUUAAUAUUUUUUACUUUGUAAAAAAUCACGGAUGAUGGUCAAGUGAUGUGGUAUGUGUAGGUGAUAUUGGUCCUAAAGGCAACAACGGCAGUAUUGGCAAUUCUGGGCCUAAAGGUGACGAAGGUGAUAAAGGGGAUGUUGGCAAUUCUGGACGUAAAGGUGACAAAGGAGAAAACGGAAAUGCUGGUGAGAAAGGAAAUGAAGGAACUAUGGGACCUAUGGGUGACAAGGGAGAAAUCGGAACUGGUGAGAAAGGAGACAAAGGAACAGGAGAUGUUGGACCUAAAGGAGGCAAAGGGAGUGUUGGUGCUCUUGGGCCAAAAGGAGACAAAGGUAAU